UACGUAGGGGGCUAGCGUUGUCCGGAAUCAUUGGGCGUAAAGAGCGUGUAGGCGGCUCGAUAAGUCUGCUGUGAAAGUCCAGGGCUCAACCCUGGAAGGCCGGUGGAAACUGUCGGGCUAGAGUCCGGAAGAGGCGAGUGGAAUUCCCGGUGUAGCGGUGAAAUGCGCAGAUAUCGGGAGGAACACCAAUGGCGAAGGCAGCUCGCUGGGACGUUACUGACGCUGAGACGCGAAAGCGUGGGGAGCAAACAGG
rnacentral:rRNA from 1 species